UCACACUUGGCACAGACCACAAAGUAUUCUUCAUUGACCAGAGUUGAACCGACAGUUUAGCAAUUAGUUGACAAUUCGUUCAUAAAGUUUUUCCUAUUGGCUAAGUAAUAAUAAGGAACACUGAAUUCUGGGAAAUUCUGUUUUUAACAAAUUAUAAACACACAUUUUCGCGUGUUUACAUCCUAGAAGCAUCUAAAUAGCAAACAAAACGUGCAAAAAAGUCAAAAUAUUAACUGAUAAGUAAUAACAGUUAUAUAUGAUAUUUAUAUAUGGUUAAGUGCGCACUGGUUUGUGACAUGCGCAAGUGCGGCGGUUGAAAUAUGGUUCAUUCCACCACCGCCAAAUCCGUGAAAACGUCCUGCUAAACAAUGAACAUGUGCAUUCCAAAACAUGCAUUCAAUCAACAAACUAAGGGGUUUUUAAAACGAAACAAGUCACGGCUGACUUCAUCUGUAUACGCUCCAUGGUCACAAACACCCCAAAGACAUAAAACCGACCGCUUUUUGAAGACAUAUUUUUGCCAAAUGACUGGUUUAUUGCAGCCAAUUUGUGCACUAAAUCAAGCUGACCAAAAACCGACACCAUAAAAUUUAGGAGAACUUCCUUUCUUAAAAGCGCGGAAGUGUCCACUCAAUGAAAUUAUUUAUUCACCGUUGGUAAUUUUGAAACGAUAAAUGAAGAUUUCGGGUCUCUAUCUGUCUGACUGCGUUCUGAAAGUUAUAAAUAAAUGUGCAUGCAAAAACAGCGAUUGUGCUUGGUAACAGUUCAACGGAGUUAUCGCGUUUCUGAUUGCAGUUAGAUAAUUUCGUGUAAUUGUUGCAAUUAAAGUAAGUUUAGACUAGUUGAAAAUUUAAAUGCAGUACGUUUUAGUUUUGUGUUUUAAAUAACAUGUUUUUGCUUUUGAGAUUUCUCAUGUAGAU